rnacentral:rRNA from 1 species
GUCUAUGGCCAUACCGCCCUGAAUCGCCCGAUCUUUUCUAAUCUUGGAAGCUAAACAGGGUUGGGCCUGGUUAAUACUUGGAUGGGUGAAAAUGGAAAGACAUCCCCU